UGGGUUUGAACUAAGAAAUAUAGCCUUAGCUACAAAGUGACAGUUUUUACCAACUUUGAUUCUUCAUAUCAGGUGGACGGCAAGUCAUGAGUUCUUGCUUUCUGUAGAUAGUGUUUCUGAAGAGAUGACAGUGUGCUUCGAAUGACAAUACAAUGAGUAGCAGCUUCGUUUCUGGAGGACGUGGACAGUGAGGUGGACGGAGACAUAGACAGACGGUGAGGUGGACGGUGAGGUGGACGGAGACAUAGACAGACGGUGAAGUGGAUGGUGAGGUGGACGGAGGCAUAGACAGACGGUGAAGUGGAUGGUGAGGUGGACAGUGAGGUAGACGGAGACAUAGACAGACGGUGAGGUGGACAGUGAGGUGAACGGAGACAUAGACAGACGGUGAGGUGGACGGAGACAUAGACAGACGGUGAAGUGGACGGUGAGGUGGACGGAGACAUAGACAGACGGUGAAGUGGAUGGUGAGGUGAACGGAGACAUAGACAGACGGUGAAGUGGAUGGUGAGGUGGACGGAGAUAUAGACAGACGGUGAAGUGGAUGGUGAGUUGGACAGUGAGGUGGACGGAGACAUAGACAGACGGUGAAGUGGACGGUGAGGUGGACGGAGACAUAGACAGACGGUGAAAUGGACGGUGAGGUGGACAGUGAGGUGGACGGAGACAUAGACAGACGGUGAGGUGGACGGAGACAUAGACAGACGGUGAAGUGGAUGGUGAGGUGGACGGAGACAUAGACAGACGGUGAAGUGGAUGGUGAGGUGGACGGAGACAUAGACAGACGGUGAAGUGGAUGGUGAGGUGGACAGUGAGGUGGACAGUGAGGUGGACGGAGACGUAGACAGACGGUGAGGUGGACGGAGACAUAGACAGACGGUGAAGUGGAUGGUGAGUUGGACAGUGAGGUGGACGGAGACAUAGACAGACGGUGAAGUGGACGGUGAGGUGGACGGAGACAUAGACAGACGGUGAAGUGGACGGAGUGGUGAACUGAGACACAGACAGACGGUGAAGUGGAUGUUGAGGUGGACGGAGAGGUGGACGGUGAAGUGGAUGGUGAAGUGGACGAAGACAUAGACAGACGGUGAAGUGGACGGUGAGGUGGACUGAGACAUAGACAUGCGGUGAAGUGGACGGACAGGUGGAGCGUCAAUCCGAGGAGACGUUGACUUGCAGUGAGCUGUUUGCAUUAAAACUUAAUUUGUGUGAGUAUCAAGCUCUGAACGAACAUGAAGCAUCCAAAUCGUGUCCGGUAGUUCUAGAAAUUCUAGAUGUCAUUUUUCACAAAGAUUCGCCAGUGCAUAAAAAAGAGAAUUUUUCUUGGACUUGAUAUGAAGCAUGGUUUCGUUUUUAGGAUAGGAGAGUAUCUUUUGAGUUUUGAGUCGAGGUUAAACAUUAUACAGUGAAGC